AGCGAACGCUGGCGGCAGGCUUAACACAUGCAAGUCGAGCGGGCAUCCUUGUGGUGUCAGCGGCAGACGGGUGAGUAACGCGUGGGAACGUGCCCUUCGGUUCGGAAUAACUCAGGGAAACUUGAGCUAAUACCGGAUACGUGCGAGAGCAGAAAGGUUUAUCUGCCGAAGGAUCGGCCCGCGUCUGAUUAGCUAGUUGGUGAGGUUACGGCUCACCAAGGCGACGAUCAGUAGCUGGUCUGAGAGGAUGACCAGCCACACUGGGACUGAGACACGGCCCAGACUCCUACGGGAGGCAGCAGUGGGGAAUAUUGGACAAUGGGGGCAACCCUGAUCCAGCCAUGCCGCGUGAGUGAUGACGGCCUUAGGGUUGUAAAGCUCUUUUCUCCGGGACGAUAAUGACGGUACCGGAGGAAUAAGCCCCGGCUAACCUCGUG
rnacentral:rRNA from 1 species